rnacentral:rRNA from 1 species
AUGACGUUGGGAAAGCGAGCGGCGGAUGGGUGAGUAACACGUGGGGAACCUGCCCCUAAGUCUGGGAUACCAUUUGGAAACAGGUGCUAAUACCGGAUAAUAAAGCAGAUCGCAUGAUCAGCUUUUGAAAGGCGGCGUAAGCUGUCGCUAAGGGAUGGCCCCGCGGUGCAUUAGCUAGUUGGUAAGGUAACGGCUUACCAAGGCGACGAUGCAUAGCCGAGUUGAGAGACUGAUCGGCCACAUUGGGACUGAGACACGGCCCAAACUCCUACGGGAGGCAGCAGUAGGGAAUCUUCCACAAUGGACGCAAGUCUGAUGGAGCAACGCCGCGUGAGUGAAGAAGGUUUUCGGAUCGUAAAGCUCUGUUGUUGGUGAAGAAGGAUAGAGGUAGUAACUGGCCUUUAUUUGACGGUAAUCAACCAGAAAGUCACGGCUAACUACGUGCCAGCAGCCGCGGUAAUACGUAGGUGGCAAGCGUUGUCCGGAUUUAUUGGGCGUAAAGCGAGCGCAGGCGGAAAAAUAAGUCUAAUGUGAAAGCCCUCGGCUUAACCGAGGAACUGCAUCGGAAACUGUUUUUCUUGAGUGCAGAAGAGGAGAGUGGAACUCCAUGUGUAGCGGUGGAAUGCGUAGAUAUAUGGAAGAACACCAGUGGCGAAGGCGGCUCUCUGGUCUGCAACUGACGCUGAGGCUCGAAAGCAUGGGUAGCGAACAGGAUUAGAUACCCUGGUAGUCCAUGCCGUAAACGAUGAGUGCUAAGUGUUGGGAGGUUUUCCGCCUCUCAGUGCUGCAGCUAACGCAUUAAGCACUCCGCC